rnacentral:lncRNA from 1 species
CAUCAAACUGUUUGUGGUACUUCUAAACUUCGUGGAAGAGCCCUGUUUCAUAAAUCUGAGACAGCCUUGGUCUGAGGGAGCAAAGACAGAGAAUUCACGUGCUGCCCAGGCAUAGCCACAUAGCAGGUGGACAUCCCUGGACACUUUUCUGACCCUCAUUGGAUUUUCCUGGAAGUACGGAGAGUUACAUCCAGAGAACUCUGAACAUUUUGGAAGGACCCCAAUCCUGCAAACAAUGAAUGGCAAUAAAUCCUGGGACUGGAAAGGUCUUCCAAGAAACAAAAGGAAAUUUACCUAUUUCUUAAACAGAACAAAACCCAUUAUAUCUUGUAAUUACCAUGUGACAGCAUUGGACAAUUUUAAACAUGUAAGGCACUUUAUGGAAACUUCAUGAUCUUUUUUUUCUUAUAUUAAGCAUUUUCUAUUUCAUCAACAUAGGAACUGUUUCAUCAUUACUCAUCAAUCGUUCCUAACAAUGCUUAAAACUAAAACAAUGAAGAAGCAGAAUAAUGAAAUUGCCUAGAAAGAUGAUGCAACUGUAAAAUAUAUCAUUAUUGCCCCAUCAUCACUAUGAUUGUUUAUAGUGUUGACUGAAGUAUUACAUCAUCAUUCAAGAAGAUAUAAAAGAAGCCUGGAGACAUCUUUUUUUUUUUGAGACACCAUUUUUACAGCCUACUUUGUUUCACUGAACACAGUUUAUAAUUCAGAAUUAUUUUUUCCAUCCAUAACUUCAAAUAGAAGAAAAGUGACAGAGGAAGAUAUUUCAAAAUUAUUAAAUGAAUCAGAAGAUGAAUGCAGAAAGACAGAGAGCAGUAAGCUAGACUCUAAUGAUUAGGGUAAAAUUGAAAUUGAUUAUACAAGUGAAAUCUCAGACUAUGAGUCUUCAUAAGACAAUGAAUUUUCUUAAACUAUAGAAUCAAUGAGUGAACAAUGCAUUUCAAAGAGAAAAAAGGAAAUAUACUAUAGUAGUUCCCUCUUAUCCAUAAAAAAUGUAUUCCAAGAUAUCCAGUAGAUACCUGAAACAAUGAAUAAUGCUGAAUUCUAUGUAUGCUGUGUUUUCUUGAUCUGAAAACCGAGAUACCUAAUAAGUGUCUCACAGACAGGUAGCUUAGAGAGCGUGGAUACAUCGGACAAAGGGAUGAUUCACAUACUUGGUGGAAUAGAGCGUGAUAACAUGACAUGCUACUCAGAAUGGUGUCCAAUUUAAAACUUGUGAGUUGUUUAUUUCAGGAAUUUUCCAUUUGAUAUUUUCAGACUGUGGUUGACUGUGGGUUACUGAAACUGCAAAUAGCAAAAUCAUGGAUAAGAGGACACGACUGUAUUCUCAUCUAGUUAGCCCUUUAACAGGAAGGAAUUUAUCCUGUUAUAUUUUGUGACAAGAACCUGAACCAUUUCAUUUUGCUAAAAGAGCAUGUCACAGUACUCUUUCUUUAUAAAAUUCAUGUGCCAAAAUCUGUGGUUUCUAACUGCACAAAUGCUAAAGAAAGAGAAAGGCAGGCAUCCAAAAGAAAUGGACAAUGUGAAUUUAAAAAUAAUUGAAUGCAUUAUUGUAAUCUAUGUUUGUAAAUACAAAAAUGAAAACCUGCCCAGGCACAGUGGCUCACGCCUGUAAUCCCAGCACUUUGAGAGGCCGAGGUGGGCGGAUCACGAGGUCAAGAGAUCAAGGCCAUCCUGGCCAACAUGGUGAAAUCCCGUCUCUACUAAAAAUAGAAAAAAAA